UUCUAAAAACAAUAUGAUUGUCAAUGAGAAGAUCUUCCAAUAUUUUCAUGACUCCAUAAGAUGUAGUUGGAAAAGAAAGACAAAUCUUAAGCAUGUUAAAGAUUUGGGGUUGUGUGCUAACAAGCAAUAUUUGUUUGAUAAUAAUCUUGUAGGAUAUCCUUAAAAUAACUUUUGGAUAUCGCUUCUAUAAACCAACUAACAAAUGUUGUUUUGUUGGAUAGUUCAUUGUAAUUCUACAAUGUGAUUUGCCUAAAAGCAAAUGAACGAGAGAUAGAACUCAAAAAGAAUGGGUUCUUUGAGAGACAAGAAAGUAAUCAACAAAUAUAACAACCUAGUUCCUAUACCACAAGCUCCAAGGUAGUCGAUAAGGAUUUAAAAACCGUCUCAGUUGAAUGGUUUUGAACUUUAUGACUAUGUCAUAGAGUUGCACCUCUUAAUUCGAAAGAAAUAAGAAUGAAAAUCCUUAUGACUACAUUGAGUGCAUAUACGAUAUAUACUCAAGGAAAUGGUAAAGUACCAUUUGACUCGAAAUAAUGAAACCUUCAUAGCUAAUUGGUAGCUUAAGGUGACUACAAUCAAAGAGAAUGGUUAACUUUAAAGGAACCAUUUUUGACGUAGUCUUAGUUUCAAUUAAUUCGAAGAUUGUUAGCUACAACUAAAUGGUGAUUCAAUGUUUUGACAUAAUAUGGGUUUCCGAAACCAUUAUUAAGAUAGUCUUGAUAAUAUAUGUCUAAAACUAUGAAUCACAAAACAUGAAAGUUGUAGAGAUCCAUCCAUCAUGGAUCUUAGCAAGUUAGUGGGAGCUAUUUGCAUUUUAUGAGAAAA
rnacentral:lncRNA from 1 species